rnacentral:rRNA from 1 species
AUUGAACGCUGGCGGCAGGCCUAACACAUGCAAGUCGAGCGGAUGACGGGAGCUUGCUCCUUGAUUCAGCGGCGGACGGGUGAGUAAUGCCUAGGAAUCUGCCUGGUAGUGGGGGACAACGUUUCGAAAGGAACGCUAAUACCGCAUACGUCCUACGGGAGAAAGCAGGGGACCUUCGGGCCUUGCGCUAUCAGAUGAGCCUAGGUCGGAUUAGCUAGUUGGUGGGGUAAUGGCUCACCAAGGCGACGAUCCGUAACUGGUCUGAGAGGAUGAUCAGUCACACUGGAACUGAGACACGGUCCAGACUCCUACGGGAGGCAGCAGUGGGGAAUAUUGGACAAUGGGCGAAAGCCUGAUCCAGCCAUGCCGCGUGUGUGAAGAAGGUCUUCGGAUUGUAAGGCACUUUAAGUUGGGAGGAAGGGCAGUAAGCUAAUACCUUGCUGUUUUGACGUUACCGACAGAAUAAGCACCGGCUAACUCUGUGCCAGCAGCCGCUGUAACAC